CUGGAGAGGACACAGAGUGCAAGUCAAAACCCAGAAGGUUCACACAGCGAAGAAGUCUACAAGGACUAGUUUGAACUACUCUCACCAGCUAAGACAACACUACUUCUCUAUAAGGUGUGGGACGCACUCUGUGGGUACUGCAGCCAGCAGGGUGUCCCCACUGGCCAGACUAGCCCUCUUCCUGCUACGUGCCCUGGGGCCAAGCCACACACAGGAUGCCCCACGCCACUACUGGAGAGCCCGUGCUGCCUGGCUGGAGAGCAGCAGGGCUCCCAGGUGCCAGAGACUGAAAUGGUUAAUAGCUUAAACAUUGCUAAGAUCACCAAAAGACUUCUGUCCACUGUAGCAAACUGCAAAGAAACAGCUGCUCAUCUACCAAAGACGUGAAAUGAAAGACCGAAAUAGACAUAUGUCUAUUUUGACAUAUUGUCAUAAUGUCUUAAUGAAGACUCAUGAAAUGUUCCUAAUCCAGUAUUACAUCGUCCAGGGGAGGUUUCCACCUAACCCAUGAACCAUAUAAACCCCACUAAUGAAAGGAGACUUUUGUGGAUUGUCUUUCCCCACCACUCAGCAUGUACAGUCUGCAGCCACUGAGAAGACCAGAAGAAAAUGGGAUGCCGUCAGAAUCUACA